rnacentral:rRNA from 1 species
UACGUAGGGACCGAGCGUUGCCCGGAAUCAUUGGGCGUAAAGAGCGUGUAGGCGGCUUGCUAAGUCUUGCGUGAAAUCUCGGGGCUCAACCCCGAGCGGUCGUGGGAAACUGGCAGGCUAGAGUGCGGGAGAGGAGAAUGGAAUUCCUGGUGUAGCGGUGAAAUGCGCAGAUAUCAGGAGGAACACCGGUGGCGAAGGCGGUUCUCUGGGACGAAUGA